rnacentral:misc_RNA from 1 species
AUUUUUUUCUCACUAGUCAAAAGUCCCAACCCCUAAGGCAGAAUGGUCUUGCAUGUAUCAGGCAAUGUCAUGCACUUAAUAAAUUUUCCAUUACACACUCUUAAUCUGCUACAUUUCAUGGUGAUUCACUAAGCAUGCAACUUUAAGCUUAGUAUGGAUGCCAAUGAAAUUUACAUUUUCUUAUAACUUGAGAAAGGACACACAUGAAGUAAUCCCAUUGUUGAUUGAAUUAUAGUACACAGUGGAACAGUAGCAAGUGGAUGAAACACUGAAACUUGGGUGAUUUGAAGAAACUUGCUAUAAUUCUAGAACCUUAAGAAAUGAAAACUCCUCUGCAUGUGUAAAAGUUACUAAUUUGUAAUGCUUUUGUAGUUGGUUCUGAAAACCAUAAUUCAAUUGGUUUUUGGUUGUAUGUGUGUAAUUGAUAUUAACUGUUUGCCUUUCUUUGCCAGGUUUAUUAUUGGCUUCUUUUUAG